AGUGAACGCUGGCGGUAGGCCUAACACAUGCAAGUCGGACGGCAGCACAGUAAGAGCUUGCUCUUACGGGUGGCGAGUGGCGGACGGGUGAGGAAUACAUCGGAAUCUACUUUUUCGUGGGGGAUAACGUAGGGAAACUUACGCUAAUACCGCAUACGACCUACGGGUGAAAGCAGGGGUUCUUCGGACCUUGCGCGAUUGAAUGAGCCGAUGUCGGAUUAGCUAGUUGGCGGGGUAAAGGCCCACCAAGGCGACGAUCCGUAGCUGGUCUGAGAGGAUGAUCAGCCACACUGGAACUGAGACACGGUCCAGACUCCUACGGGAGGCAGCAGUGGGGAAUAUUGGACAAUGGGCGCAAGCCUGAUCCAGCCAUACCGCGUGGGUGAAGAAGGCCUUCGGGUUGUAAAGCCCUUUUGUUGGGAAAGAAAAGCAGCAGGUUAAUACCCCGCUGUUCUGACGGUACCCAAAGAAUAAGCACCGGCUAACUUCGUG
rnacentral:rRNA from 1 species